GACGAACGCUGGCGGCGUGCCUAAUACAUGCAAGUAGAACGCUGAAGGAGGAGCUUGCUUCUCUGGAUGAGUUGCGAACGGGUGAGUAACGCGUAGGUAACCUGCCUGGUAGCGGGGGAUAACUAUUGGAAACGAUAGCUAAUACCGCAUAAGAGUAGAUGUUGCAUGACAUUUGCUUAAAAGGUGCAAUUGCAUCACUACCAGAUGGACCUGCGUUGUAUUAGCUAGUUGGUGAGGUAACGGCUCACCAAGGCGACGAUACAUAGCCGACCUGAGAGGGUGAUCGGCCACACUGGGACUGAGACACGGCCCAGACUCCUACGGGAGGCAGCAGUAGGCAAUCUUCGGCAAUGGACGGAAGUCUGACCGAGCAACGCCGCGUGAGUGAAGAAGGUUUUCGGAUCGUAAAGCUCUGUUGUAAGAGAAGAAACGAGUGUGAGAAGUGGAAAGUUUCACAACUGUG
rnacentral:rRNA from 1 species